AAUAUGUGAGAUACUUGCAAUUAUCUUCGGUUGCAAUGGAGGGAGUCUUGCUUCCUGUGUGUCCUUCCCCUUCUUCUUCCUCUGCAGCUCCUAAACCCAGAAUCCCCAUUCCUCAACGCUCUUCUUUCCCUUCUUCACUACCAACCCAUCUCUCCCUCCCCCAAAACGCAGCGUUUUCCCUUCGCACCUCUCUCCGCACUUCCACCUUCGCACCUCUCUCCGCACUUCCACCUUCGCACUCGCGCCACACGAAACUCCCGUUCUGGACAAACCCGACAACAACAGUUCUUCUCCCUCUCUGCCCAAAAUCGACAAGACCGGCCGCUUCUGCAGCCCCCGCGCCGCCAGAGAACUCGCUCUGUCGAUAAUCUAUGCAGCGUGCUUGGAGGGGAUGGACCCGGUUCGGCUCUUCGAGAAACGGAUGAAUGCCCGACGAGAAGCUGGGUAUAAAUUUAAUGAGGAAAAGUUGUUGGAGUAUAAUCAUAUGAGUUUUGGAGGGUCGCCUGUUACUGUUGGAUCGGAUGAAGAAGCAAAUGAGCUUCUGCGGCACAUUGAAGAAGAGUCUGCCAUUGAAGCAGAAGUCCUCACAGCUCCUCCAAAGCUGGUAUACAACACACUGAUUUUGAGAUUCACCAAGAAACUAUUGGUUGCAGUCAGGGAUACAUGGGACAGUCAUGUCCUGGUCAUUAACAAAAUCGUCCCACAAAAUUGGAAGAAUGAACCAGCUGGGAAGAUUUUAGAGCUGUCUAUUCUUCACUUGGCCAUGUCGGAAAUGGAAGUGCUAGAAACUAGACACCAAAUCGUCAUUAAUGAGGCAGUAGAUCUUGCUAAACGGUUUUGUGAUGGAGCAGCCCCUCGCAUCAUUAAUGGCUGUCUCCGCACAUUUUUCCGAGAACUGGAGCUUGAAGCAUCGAAUAACCGGGUUUAGUUGAGCUCCAUGUACAUUGUCAGAUUGUCUACACGUUGUAGUCCUCGGGUCGUUGAAAAGGUUGACAUGCAUUUCAGGAAAUAUCACCAAUGGUGGUUUGAUAAUUUGCAUAUUGACCUGCAGGCAAGGCCUGAGUUAGGAAUCGUGUUGUUUGAAACUGGUAGAUAGUUAUCAUGCCAUUUUGUUUUUACAGCAGUUAUGACAUUGCAAUAUUGUAAUCGUGUAUAUGUAUGUUAUAUUUUAUGUAUUUUACCUCGUGGGAUUUGUAAUAAAUUUUGUUUAAGUUAAAGAACUUUUGAAAUAUAAUUUAAUUAAGUACUUUUGAAACAUGGUACAA